UACGAAGGGUGCAAACGUUGCUCGGAAUUAUUGGGCGUAAAGCGCACGUAGGCGGCAUUGCAAGUCGAUGUGAAAUCCCUCGGCUUAACCAAGGAAGUGCAUCCGAAACUGCAGUGCUUGAGUACUUAAGAGGAUCGCGGAAUUCCCGGUGUAGAGGUGAAAUUCGUAGAUAUCGGGAGGAACACCAGUGGCGAAGGCGGCGAUCUGGGAAGAUACUGACGCUGAGGUGCGAAAGCGUGGGGAGCAACAGGG
rnacentral:rRNA from 1 species